GAUGAAGAACGUAGCGAAAUGCGAUAAGUAGUGUGAAUUGCAGAAUUCAGUGAAUCAUCGAAUCUUUGAACGCACAUUGCGCCCUUUGGUAUUCCUUAGGGCAUGCCUGUUCGAGCGUCAUUUAAACCUUCAAGCUAAGCUUGGUGUUGGGUGACUGUCCGCUUCACGGCGGACUCGCCUCAAAAUUAUUGGCGGCCGGUACAUUGGCUUCGAGCGCAGCAGAAACGCGAACUCGGGCCCGUCGUAUUGGCUCCCAGAAGCUAUCUUCACAAUUUUGACCUCGGAUCAGGUAGGGAUACCCGCUGAACUUAAGCAUAUAUAAGCGGAGGA
rnacentral:misc_RNA from 1 species